rnacentral:rRNA from 1 species
CAGCCGCCGCGGUAAUACGGAGGGUGCAAGCGUUAAUCGGGAUUACUGGGCGUAAAGCGUGCGCAGGCGGUUGUGUAAGUCUGAUGUGGAAGCCCCGGGCUCAACCUGGGAACUGCAUUGGAGACUGCACGGCUAGAGUGCGUCAGAGGGGGGUAGAAUUCCGCGUGUAGCAGUGAAAUGCGUAGAGAUGCGGAGGAAUACCGAUGGCGAAGGCAGCCCCCUGGGAUGACACUGACGCUCAUGCACGAAAGCGUGGGGAGCAAACAGGAUUAGAUACCCCUGUAGUCCCUGUCUCUUAUAC